GACGAACGCUGGCGGCGUGCUUAACACAUGCAAGUCGAACGGGGUUACCGGAUCGGAGGCUUCGGCCAAAGAGCUGACUAACCUAGUGGCGGACGGGUGAGUAACACGUGAGCAACCAACCUUAUACACAGGAAUAACACUGGGAAACCAGUGCUAAUACCCGAUAUUAUUUAGACAAGGCAUCUUGAUUAAAUGAAAGAUUUAUCGGUAUAAGACGGGCUCGCGUCCGAUUAGCUAGUUGGUAGGGUAAUGGCCUACCAAGGCGACGAUCGGUAGCCGGACUGAGAGGUUGAUCGGCCACAUUGGGACUGAGAACGGCCCAGACUCCUACGGGAGGCAGCAGUGGGGAAUAUUGGGCAAUGGAGGCAACUCUGACCCAGCAAUACCGCGUGAAGGAAGA
rnacentral:rRNA from 1 species